UGUUUUCCGCGUUGGCCCAUGUACAAGUCCCUUGGAACAGGGCGUCAUAGAGGGUGAGAAUCCCGUCCUUGACAUGGACCCCCAAUGCUUUGUGAUACACUUUCAACGAGUCGAGUUGUUUGGGAAUGCAGCUCAAAAUGGGUGGUGAAUUCCAUCUAAAGCUAAAUAUUGGCGAGAGACCGAUAGCGAACAAGUACCGUGAGGGAAAGAUGAAAAGCACUUUGGAAAGAGAGUUAAACAGUACGUGAAAUUGUUGAAAGGGAAACGAUUGAAGUCAGUCAUGCUCUUUGGAUUAAGCCGUUCUGCGGUGUAUUUCAUUGAGCGGGGUCAACAUCAGUUUUGAUCGCUGGAAAAGGGCAGGAGGAAGGUAGCACUCUCGGGUGAACUUAUAGCCUCUUGUCGUAUACAGUGAUUGGGACUGAGGAACGCAGCAUGCCUUUUGGCCGGGAUUCGUCCACGUACAUGCUUAGGAUGUUGACAUAAUGGCUUUAAACGACCCGUCUUG
rnacentral:rRNA from 1 species